AACGAACGCUGGCGGCAUGCCUAACACAUGCAAGUCGAACGAGACCUUCGGGUCUAGUGGCGCACGGGUGCGUAACGCGUGGGAACCUGCCCUUAGGUUCGGAAUAACUCCCCGAAAGGGGUGCUAGUACCGGAUAAUGUCUUCGGACCAAAGAUUUAUCGCCUUUGGAUGGGCCCGCGUUGGAUUAGCUAGUUGGUAGGGUAAAAGCCUACCAAGGCGACGAUCCAUAGCUGGUCUGAGAGGAUGAUCAGCCACACUGGGACUGAGACACGGCCCAGACUCCUACGGGAGGCAGCAGUGGGGAAUAUUGGACAAUUGGCGAAAGCCUGAUCCAGCAAUGCCGCGUGAGUGAUGAAGGCCUUAGGGUUGUAAAGCUCUUUUACCCGGGAUGAUAAUGACAGUACCGGGAGAAUAAGCUCCGGCUAACUCCGUG
rnacentral:rRNA from 1 species